UACGUAGGGUGCAAGCGUUGUCCGGAAUUAUUUGGGCGUAAAGAGCUCGUAGGCGGUUUGUCGCGUCUGCUGUGAAAACGCGGGGCUCAACUCCGCGCCUGCAGUGGGUACGGGCAGACUAGAGUGCAGUAGGGGAGACUGGAAUUCCUGGUGUAGCGGUGGAAUGCGCAGAUAUCAGGAGGAACACCGGUGGCGAAGGCGGGUCUCUGGGCUGUAACUGACGCUGGAGGAGCGAAAGCGUGGGUAGCGAACAGG
rnacentral:rRNA from 1 species